UAAAGUCCUCUGCAUCAGUAAUGUUACUCAGCAAGAGAAUAGUACUCGGCUGAGUAAACACAGAACUUGGUUUUCUUGUUAUUGUUUCCAGACUGACCCGAUAUAUCACUUAGGAUGGCCAAUGUAGCCAAAGGCUCUUGUUUGUGCAGUUAAAAACGGCAUAUUAUGCUCUUCAUGCAUGAACGACAACAAUUUGUCUGGAUAAUAUUCCAUCAAUAGUUUCUGUUAGAAAUUAAACCUGCAGAUGCUUGUACUGUUUAUUUAUGGUAAUCUUUUCCAAGUUUGGCUUGUAUAGCUGAUGAUUGCUUGAGAGCAUGAGAAUAUUCAUUUAUUUGCCUCACCUUUCACUGAAGGUGGAAAUUGGUGGCAGAAUUUAAGCCUGCGAAUCAAGUAACAUUUAUUGGGGUUAAUCAUAUGUUGUUGAAUCUUGAAGGUGUGUGCAAAAAUAGGAAAAAUGUUGUUGAGGCUCUUGGCACGAGUCCUUUGCUCUAGCCAGCUGCGUAUGCUGAGAUGGGAAAAACCAUGAAGAUAGACCAAAAUAUUAUUAGGUGGGCGCAUCAUCGUGACCAACAUUGUUAUGAUUAAUAUUCUGGCAAUGUUACUGAGCAAUUCCUUAUGAUUGUGGUCGUCUAUAUAGGUACAUAGAUGACCAAUUCAAGAUGGGGUAUAUCGAGAAGCAUUCCUUCGUUUGAGUAGAAUCAGAAUUUUGGAUGCUAUUAGGAGUUGUGUAAACUGAACUAAAUGUCACAAAUCACAGUACUGUUCCUUUACUUGUGCCUAGUUAAGGUUUUGAUUAAACAAAAUUCGAAGUAAAAAAAAAGAACCAGUAAUAUAACUCACCACCGUUUCAGUAAUAAUCAAACUCUCAAUGGUUGAGACUCUAGAACGUAAAGGUUCUGAGUUCUAAUUUUCUUACUUUCUUCUCGUUUUUUAAACUUCAUCUCCCCUACUAGAAAAAAAUUUGCCUUAGUAUAAAACUUUUUUUAUUCAAUUUUCACAACUUGCUAGUAGCCUGUAUAAAUUUCCUCCUAUAAAGCAAAAUUUUUUUUUAUGAUUCCAAUUGAACAACUAAUGAACCCACCACCUGUCGAGUAGAUUUUGGUCUAGUGAUUAAAGUUGAGAUCUCAAUAAUGAAAGAUUUAGGGUUUAAAUCUUCUUUUCCCUUCUCCAUUUCUUAACUUCCAUCUCUCUCUUGCUAAAAAAAUAUAAAAAAGAAAAAACUAAUGAACUAAUGAAUCCACCACCUACCUAAAGAGGAAUUUGACCCUAUAAACUUCUAAAAUUUCAACUACUAUUUUCAUUUUCUACAUAUUCUAUUAUUCUUCCAACGCAAGGAAUUCUCCGUUUUCUUAUUUUGUAAAUCAUUUAUCUCUAGGCAUUCAUGUUGACAAUGCUUUUUUUUUUUUUUUAAUGUUGUUUGCUCUCAUGUUCAAUCUUCUGAAUCUAAUUUUAAGCGAAAAUCUUCCACUAGUUGGAUCAAUAUUAUUUCUUUACACUGGUUUAUUUCCUCACAAUUAAUACUAGAAUACAAGUGAUGCAAAACUUAUGAGGAGGGAGAGUGAUGGGAUAUUGGAAUUGGUUUGGGCACAAAGAAUUUAGCAAUUAGGGCUACACAAGCUAAUUCUGUAGAGUUGGAACCACGAGUAAAUGUGCUGGAACUCCUCCAACAAAAAAAAAAAAAAAAGUACUGGAACUGUUGAGUUUGUGUUAGCUGGAUGCGUGUGCAUGUGUGUGAGUUGGUGACAGAGGAUAAGAAAAAACAAAACGGUUCUUGUUUAGGGGCAUAACAUGAGCUGAAAUCUUAGCCAUUGAUUGGGUAGACUAUGGGUUGUGAUGCUUUUAAUUGAAAUGAUUGAUGGUGUUGAUUAGGCGAGUCUUGGCGUAUCGUGGUGCAAUAGGUAGGAGAUUAAGUGUUCGAAAAUUUUCAGGAAACUCACCACUCAUCACACAUUUUCAUUUUUCUUAAAAUUAAGGAUUAAAACUUGCUUCCAGGGAUAUAUAUGAAACAGUAAAAUGAUUAUAUCAUCGCUACAUGUCAUAGCUAGAAUAGAUAAUAAACCUAGCCAAAAAUAUGAGGUAACCAUAAUUGGAACCGCUAAUAUUAUAAGUUAUACAACACCUAGGCAUAAAAGUGGAAAAUAAUUACUCGCUAAACAACAUUGAUUGGAACUGAAAAACUAUUAAUCAAAUAACCAAAUAUGUUGUUUAGACCUGGACAUACGUGAAUUCAUGCCAUAAUUGACGUAAGAUUUAGUAAUAAGCAUCUCAGAUAGAAAGCAUGUUAUUUUGGUAGGUAGUUUUUUAGUGGCCCAAGUUUCCAUCUUCCUUCUCUGCUAACCACCUGUAGUUUUUCACUCGUUUCCUCUUCUCUAUUUCUGGUAUCUAUUUUGUGGAUUCUCCAGAUAGUGGGUAGUCUACCAUCCAGCAACUGACUUCCUAAUCUCCAUUUAAUCCUUUUUACUAAAAUUGUGUGCCUCUCGCUGAUAAUCAACGUGUAUGACUCUUCAACUUUUUUCUUGGAACUUAGAUCAGCUUUUUGUCGCUUAUAUGGUAUUGGUCAGCAUUUUGGCCUACAAUUCACCCUGCUAUUUAAUCGUUCUCCAACCCAGUUUAGCUAGCAAAGUUUUGUUGAGCAUCAUCUCUGAUGAUCUUGCAAGAUAAACAUAUAGGAAAUUAUGUUAUGUUCUGUAUUUUGUGUUAAUGGGACAAUUCAUACAAGAUUAUUUGUAUUAUGAAAUUAGAACUGAUUGGUUUUCAUUAGUUAACUUUCUAUUGUCGUUACAACUAGAAUGCAAUUAUGGUAUAGGAAAGGAAGUCAAUCAAAAUUUCUACAUGGUUCUUGAUAAUUUCUUUGAUUUUAAAUAAUUUGUUCGAUGGAAUUGAAUAAACUUUUCAACUAGAAAGAUGUUUAUUAAAUUCUCCUCAAAUUUUAGUUUGAUUAUGUUUGUUAACCCAUCUCUAUUCUCAUGCACUUUUGGAUAUAACUAAAUGAAAGCUUAUAAUGAGGGAAAAUGCUAGUUAUUAUCCCUAAACUUUGGUCCAUAGAUACACUUCAUCCUCAAAUUUUUUGGCAUAACACAUUUAGUAUUUGAACUAUCAAUUUUUGACCAAUUUAUUCCUCAAACGGAAAAUUAAUCAAUUUGAAUGGAAAUUGGAAUUGGAAAAAAAGGUAUUGGAGUUGGGAGAGUGAAAAUAGCCAUUCUAUUUUGCUAAUUUGAAGUCGUGCAAGACUUUUCACACAAUAGACUCAUGCUUACGAGGUGCCCAAUUCCGGUUCAAAUUAAUUAGUUUCCUAUUUGAGAAUGAAAUUGGACAAAAAUUGAUAGUUCAAAUACAAAAUGUGUUAUGUUAGAAAUUUUGGUGACGAAAUGUAUUCAUGACCCAAAGUUUAGGAAUGAAAACUGGCAUUUUUCCCUUAUAAUGAAUUUGUUUUCUAAUUACAAGAUGUUGUCUCCGUGUGCCUUGUGCUGGAUGUCUAAACGGGCCACGCUGUUCCUAUCUGGUUGCAUCCUCAUCACUGGUUCACUUUCCUCUCACCUCUUUGUUGGAUUUGGAGGAUCUGCGCUUCUAUGAUCCUGUUUUGGUUUGUUCUUCCUCUUGAAGAACUACAGAUAUUGGUAUAUCUCUUACAUGGUACUUCCAAGUUCUCUUCUCUUUGGGUGUUCAAGCUACCUUGAUACCGUUCUGGAUAUUGGUGGCUACAACUAAUCAUGGUUUUGAGCGCUAGUGAAUAAGGAAAUUUAUGUCCGAGCAUAGAUGGACACUUGUGGAGAAGUGCUCAAGGAGUACUCACUUAUGUUGACAUUCCCCGGAUAUUAGUGGUUGCUGCCAUGAGCCAUUUGGUUGCGAGACAUUUGGAGCACUUGAUUCGGAUUGCAUUAGAUGGGGGAGCACAGAUGAGAGACAAUUAUGAUAUCUGUGCUUUAGUUUUUGGCGAGCCAUAGCUUAUCAACUAUGGAAGGAGACUGGAGCUUGCCUUUGUUAUGUUUACAAUGUUGAUGCUACUUGUGGCUACGGACAUGGCAUUGAUUGAUAGUAGUGUAUUGGAAGAAAGGGGCACUGCCAUCUAUUGAUGUGCCACCAAGAGUGUAGGGGCUAGUAGUUGGGGCAGUUGAGCAAAAGUAAGGGCCAUCAGUUGAGCUAUCUAGUUCAACUAAGGACUUAGACAUUUUAGUUUAGAGAAAAUGAUCAUUUUGAUCCGUUAUCUUUAGAGUUUUGAUCAAUUUAAUCUUUUAUCUAUUAUUGUGAUUAUUUUAGUCCCUCAUCUUUACUAUAAAAAGUCAAUCUAAAUCCUUUAACGAAAAAUUAAAAAAUUUUAAUAGAGCUAGUUCUGUGCACAUUUUGUGCACAAUAUGUGCACCAUUAAAAAUGACCCUUAGAACUAGUUCUAACUUCUAACCAAGACAGGCUGAAUAUAUAGGCUUUUAAAACUCUUGUGCAUCAGAAAUAGCACUCAGCAGAAGAAUAUAUAUAUAUAUUUUUUUUUACUUGGCUCAGUAAAAACAGAAUUCAUUUUCCUGUUAUUUUUCUGGAGUUACGCCAUCAUCACUUAGUUAUGUACUCUGUUCCUUCCACAACUAUUUUGAGGCCAUCAUCUUGUGGUACUUGUAAUUUCUUCUUAAUCUGCUUACCCUGGAUUGUGCUAUCUAAUGCAUGUUUUCAUUUUUGGAGAAACCUGUAUAGAAAUUGAAAAGACAUUCUUGUAUUAUGCAGAGCAAGGGAAGGAUUUGGACCAGUUUUUCCGGUCAACAGCAGGUAUGUUGUAUUGGCUCAUUCAUAUAACUUUGGUUCCAAUUCUUGUGAUAUUUGUUCCAUUUGGAUACUGAUAUUUUACUCAUUAAAGUUUUUACUGGAAGAACAGUAUGCAUUUUCUACGGUUUGCAUUUUGUUGCUGAAUUUCUGUUUUCCCUUAAUAUAUUGUCAGUAAUUGUUUUAGACUGGCUGCAUUUCCAUGUAGUUUAUAAACAUGAAAUCUAGUAUGUUAUAGGUUCUUGGCAUUUUUCUCCAAAUUUAAAUGCAUCACUUUCUCGAGUUUCAGUGGUGUACAUUGAAAGAACUAUAGAGCGUGAGGAACAAUAGUUAAUUUAUAUGUUGUUCUUUCUCGCAGGGAAGUUCCAAACAAACAUUGGUAAAGCUUGGGCUUCAGAAAUUGCAUCAAGAAGAAGGAACCAUUGACACAUUAAAUUUUUCUUGUAUACUGUCACAAUCUCCUAUUACUUUCAAAGAACUAAUUCUAACCAAGGCAGGCUGACGCAGGCUUUUAAAGUCCUCUGCAUCAGUAAUGUUACUCAGCAAGAGAAUAGUACUCGGCUGAGUAAACACAGAACUUGGUUUUCUUGUUAUUGUUUCCAGACUGACCCGAUAUAUCACUUAGGAUGGCCAAUGUAGCCAAAGGCUCUUGUUUGUGCAGUUAAAAACGGCAUAUUAUGCUCUUCAUGCAUGAACGACAACAAUUUGUCUGGAUAAUAUUCCAUCAAUAGUUUCUGUUAGAAAUUAAACCUGCAGAUGCUUGUACUGUUUAUUUAUGGUAAUCUUUUCCAAGUUUGGCUUGUAUAGCU
rnacentral:lncRNA from 1 species